UCGAGAGAUGCACAGGAAGGAGCAGGGAGGGAAUUAUCCACAAUUUCGUUUUGGUUUGAGACGAGUGAAAGGAAGGACAGCUGGUUGCUUCUCGGCUUCUCUGAUCUAACAGGCUUCACCCCAACAUCUGACUCCCAAGUCUGUGUUGGUAAAUAGAACAACUUAGUUAAAAGCAACAGUUGGCAUCUAAUGCGCGGCACGAGAUCAGACGAGCUGGCUGAAGCCUCUCUAUUGCCACUUCUCCUGCCGUGGCCCGCCCACUCGGGCUCCUGCCACUGCGGCCACCGCCAUGCCUCUCAACCCUGGAUGCCUCACAGGCCCGCCACCGCAGCUGUACUGCAGAUCUGGUAGCGGUUACAGAAGUGUUGGCCCAUACCCCUGAAGAAGAAAACCGUGAACUGACUUGAAUUCAGUGUUCACUGGCAGACUUUUGUCCUUGGGGUCAAGACCAGGGAAGGAAUGGUUUUGUUCUGCCGUACACUCUGGCUACCGUCCACUGCCUCACCACAGGAUGGAAGCAGCAAUGCCAGUGGGCCCAUUGGAAGAGCCAGCCACUCGAAUGUAUGUCAGACAGGAAAGUGGUUCCAAAUGAAUGAUCACAACAUUCCUCAUGUUGGGUUGAGAUCUGUGCUCAGGGAACGUUGAUUGUACAUUGGGAGAUGACAAGAAGGAAGGAUGGGAAAGCUGCUUGUGUGUGGAUGAGCCUCUAGGCUCCGGGGAAGACUUCUGGGUGUGAAUCCCGGCUCUACCAACACUCUCUGAAUAAUCUCCUCAGCUUACUUUCUAUUCCUGGGUCUCAGUUUCUUCAUCUGUAAAAUGAGGUAUAAAAUGAUUGCUUGCCAUGCACAGGGCUUUGAGGUUGAGCCUCAGUUCCCCAUAAAAUAGUAAUAAUUAAUAGUAAUAAUGCUAAUACUGCUAAUAAUAGCAGCAUUGACUCCAUAGGUUUGCUUGUGUUAGCUGUCUGUGUUAGUCACUAAAAUGUCCACCCGAGAAACAUCAACCAAUAAGGGUGGUGGGUUUUUUGCUUAGUUUUGGAGAUUUUUGGUCAAUAAUUUGGUAGACUCAUUGCCUUGGGGCCUAUAUCAAGGCCCUGUACCAUGGUACACUGCAGAGGAAUCCCAUUUACCUUGUGGUCAGAAACAAAAGAAAGAGAGAAAGGACCAGGGUUCCACUGUCCUUCAAGGGUGUGUGCCCCCAGUGACCUAAAUGACCUAUCUGCCUCCUACUAGGCCUGACUUCUCAAGGGUUCUACCUCCUCCUUACCCUGGGGACCAAUCCUUCCAACACACAGGGCUUUGAACAACAUAUAUAGAAUCCAUAGUACAAUUUAAUUAGCUAAUACUUUGUAAAAUUCUCAGAACAAUACCCAGCAUAUAGAGGAGAGCCAACAGGUGGCAUUAUUACCUUCACUAUUAGUUUGAUUGGCUCCAUGGUCACCGUCAGUGAGUUGAGUCAGCUGACUGCUAGCUCAGAGUCAGAGUCUGAGUCCAUUCAGGAUCCAACAGCUAUGGCAGGAAAGAGUCAAGUUAAGUGGUAAGCAGGUCUGAGGACCUACUUCAGAAUGAGCCCAGGGAGGAAAGGGGCUUCCUUCUCUGGGAAACCCUCCUUCAGUCUGAAGCUGUGAAAGAUUUAGUCUUCGUGACUAGAUCUUCUAGUCUCAUGGAAGACAAACUAUCUCAGUGACUACUGGCCGCGGGCUGUUUGUAGGUAAAGAUGAAGCCAGUUACCACACUCAACCUUCAUGCAGUUCUGUGGCUGGCGUGUGUACUGUUUUGCUGAGGGAGAGAUGUUGCAAUAAUCUUUUUACACACUGUAUAAAGAUAUGUCUCUUUCCUUCUCCUGUUUAAGGCACCUUCUGAUUGGUUAAAUGAAGAGCUGAACAGCCAAUAGCUAGGUGGGAGAUAAGUGGGACUUCCGGGGAGAAAGAGGAACUCUGGGAAAGAAACUGUGGUAGAAGAUUCAGCAGCCAGAUUUGGAGGAAGUCAGACUACUGUACUGAGGAGAGGUAAUGAGCCCCAUGGCAAAAUGUAGAUUAAUACAAAUGGAUUAAUCUAAGUGUUAAGAGCUAGUUAGGAACAAGCCUAAGCGGAGGCCAAGCUUUCAUAAUUAAUAAAAGGCCCCCACGUCCUUACUAGAGAAGUAGUGAUGUAAAGAAAGACCUGCUACAUCACAGCAGGUAUGGAGGUCAGGGGACAACUUGCAGGAGAUAUGCAGUUCCCGCGAUUAAGCUCAGGGUGUCAAACUUGGUAACAAGCGUCUUUACCCGCUGAACCAUCUCACCAGCC